GAGAGACCGAAAAGGCUGGGGGUGGGAGUAGCGGAUUUGAAGCACUUGUUGGCCUACAGAGGUGUGGCAAGCAGAGCGCCUCAGAACUCAGGCGUACUGCCCGCCGCCCGAGCCCUGCGAGGGCCGAUAGCGAGGGUGUGGCCCUUAUCUGCACCCAGCAGAGCGCCGGCGGGGUACGGUCUUAGGACCUCGAUCUCCUUCUCCCUCAUUUUCUCUCAUCCCUACCUAUUGUGGGUUUCCGCAUGGGCCGGACCGUGGUCGUGCUGGGCGGAGGCAUCAGCGGCUUGGCCGCCAGUUACCACCUGAGCCGGGCCCCCUGCCCCCCUAAGGUGGUCCUAGUGGAGAGCAGUGAGCGUCUGGGAGGCUGGAUUCGCUCCGUUCGAGGCCCGAAUGGUGCUAUCUUUGAGCUUGGACCUCGGGGAAUUAGGCCAGCGGGAGCCCUAGGGGCCCGGACCUUGCUCCUGGUGAGAGGCUUGUGGGAUGUCUAGGAGAGGUUGUGGAGGGGGCUUCCAUUGGGGAAUAGAGUUUAGGGGAGGAAGUAUGUUUGGUGGGUCAGACCUUCCCUUAGUUUCUCCUCUUCUGAGGGCAUGUGGAGAGCAGGUUUCUGAGCUUGGCUUGGAUUCAGAAGUGCUGCCUGUCCGGGGAGACCACCCAGCUGCCCAGAACAGGUUCCUCUACGUGGGCGGUGCCCUGCAUGCCCUACCCACUGGCCUCAGGGGGCUACUCCGCCCUUCACCCCCCUUCUCCAAACCUCUGUUUUGGGCUGGGCUGAGGGAGCUGACCAAGCCCCGGGGCAAAGAGCCUGAUGAGACUGUGCACAGUUUUGCCCAGCGCCGCCUUGGACCUGAGGUGGCGUCUCUAGCCAUGGACAGUCUCUGCCGUGGAGUGUUUGCAGGCAACAGCCGUGAGCUCAGCAUCAGGUCCUGCUUUCCCAGUCUCUUCCAAGCUGAGCAAACCCAUCGU
rnacentral:sRNA from 1 species